AUAAGGUUAAGUUAAUAAGGGCGCACGGUGGAUGCCUUGGCACUAGGAGCCGACGAAGGACGUGACAAACGACGAUAUGCCUUGGGUAGCUGUAAGUAAGCGAUGAUCCAGGGAUUUCCG
rnacentral:rRNA from 1 species